GUGUGUGUGUGUGUGUGUUUUGCACUUAUCUAAUUUAUAUAUUAUAGUUUUGUGUUUAACUCCAUUGAAAUGUUUUUUAAUCGUGUCUGCCAUCCCAGUAGACUAGGAGAGUCCUGAAGAAAAUAUGAGGUGGUUAUCCCAGGGUCAUCAGAAACCUGCCCUUAGUAAGUGCUUCUCCAAUGUCUGUUGAUGCCUUAAGUCUUGGACUCACAGAAGUGCCCACAACAGGGUCAGGAAAGAACUCUGGUUCUUGCAUGCCUCAAACACUAGGAGAUAGUGUCGCUCCCAACCAGAACCCUGCUGCUUUGUGACAUGAAGAGACUUCUGUUGGCCAGGUUUGCAGAGAAGGGAAAGUCUGCCCUAUGGGGCCUUCCAUACCGUGCCUGGUUACACUGAAGCAGCAGGCUGAUGCCUGGGUCCUGUCAGACAGAUGAAACCAAAUACCCUGUGUCACCUUACACGAUGACAUGCUGUGUGCAUUCUAAGCUGGAUCUUUGGUAUCAUUUACUUAUGGACUUGGGUACAGGGUCCCAGCAGGGACACCAGAGCCCCUAUCACUCAUCAGCUAAGGCAGUCCACACCCUGCUCGAAGGGCAUCUGAGGUUCUUGCUAGCUGAACAGCUUUGAGCUUCAGGGCAGCUCUGAGUCAGUCACACAAGGCUCAUUACUCACUAAUCCCAGGAGACAGACUGCUCCCCUGAAGAAAACAGACAAAAAGCCUGAACUCUAAAACACAAAGUGGUCAAUGCUACCAGAGCCAAAAUCUAUGGCUGAAGGAAGGACAUAAAACAGAGUUGUUCCUCCAAUUUUGUGAAAUUUGGGGGCUGCAUCUUAGGGGCAGGUGACUGACAGCCCACAGGCCCAUUCUCUCCUCCAGACUCAGCCUUCAGGUGCCUUCCUUCAGCCUCAGCCUAUAUGACCCUCAGUAUCAUGCUUCUCCCAGUCAAAAGGUGUCUUGGAAAUCCCUCGGAGCCCUGUUUGUUGUCAACAACUGCUGUGUCUUCUCUGGUUUCCGUGUGACUUACUCUAGUGUUUGGUGGCAGUGUUCCUCAUCCUCAUCAUCUCCUUCCUGACCAAGUUCCAAGCCCCCACUGUAAGGAAUAUUAGCCACCAGUAAUGGCAGCCAGAGAUGAUGCUUACUCACAAACCAGCAUGCUUUAGUUCACCUCUCCCUGGUUAUCCCUACCAACAGCCAACUGCACACAAAAAUAGGUGAAGACACCGUGCACUUCAGAAGCAGGGCCCAAAGGUCCACG